ACCCCGUGGCUUCCGCGCGCCUCGCGUCCGCACCUGCACGAACACGCGGCUGUCGGCCGGGACCUCGAGCACCCCCGCGCGGCGCGGGAAGCCAUCCUCUGAGUCUGACAGCUUCAGGCUGAAAAGGGGUCGGCGCAGCCAGGGCCCGGGCGCCGCGGGGAACAGGGGCGCUGGCGGGGAGAAAGGGUGGCAGAGAGGAGGGAGGGCGCGCUGCCCCUUAAUCCCCCCUGACAAACCUCUCCGCUGCCUUCUUUGGAAAAUGAAAGCAGCUGUGGUGGAGGAUUCACCCCUGCUCGGCUCCGAGCCUUGCACCAACGGAAAAGCUGCUGUGAUAUCCCCCUGGAGAGCCCUCUUCCCAGACCUUGAUUGCUCUACCCGCGGUGGGCGAGGGAAUCCGUGGCCAGGAAGGAGUGGAGGGGCGCCUGAUGCGGAGGGUCAAGCUGGGUGAGGCCACCAGGGUCUGGGACUUCUCCCUUUGUCCAGGUUCCUCACUCCCAUGCUGAGGGCAGCAGCAGCAAAGGGUGGAGGCAACAGGGGAGUGUGUGAGCGCCCACCCACAGGCCACACCACCAUACAGACAGCUGCCUUCAGGAGGCACUCAGCUGGUCCAGGACCAUGGGCACACAUGGGCCGCAGUAGUGUUUGCACAGACUGUGCCCAUCCCACUGCCCUUGGCCUCACCGCGGCUGCUGGAGAAGCUGGGGAUCCAAGAGAGCCUGGAAGACGGGGGACAGGGCAGACCCCACCUCCCACCCACCUGCUCCCCCAGGCUGGGUGGACAAGAGGUUGCACGAGAAAGGGCCACGCAGGAAUGGGCCUGUGCUGGGCCAUGUCCCCGCUCCUGUAUGUACCAGGUGGCUGGCUGGACGGGGUGGCCAGCCCCAAGAGCAGGGCCAGCAGCAGGAGCCUGGCGCCCAGCAUGCUGGACUGCCUGGGCCAAGGGCGUGCGGGGCGUGCGGGGCUGGCGGCAGAGGCACCAGUCCAGCAGCACCCAGGCUGGGCAGGUGGGCAGGCCGCCCUGUCCUUGGCUGGGUGGCCACUUGGGGAGGCAGGAAGUGGGGGCGGUGGACUGACGGGCCGACAUCAGAGCUGGCGCCCAAGGCCUGCCAGGGAUUAAGGGCUCUUCUCCCGCCUGGCCUGUGGCUAUUGGGGUGGAGGUGUGUGAGGUCCCUCACACUGGCCACUUGAUAUGGGGCCAGUCACUACCAACACUACCCUACCAGCCCCUAGCCCUGCCUCAGUCUCCCAUCCAUGCAGAGGCCUCAUCCACCAGAAUGGUGCUGAUCCACCAGCCCCACCACCCCCAAGGUCAGGGCUCACGGCCCCUUCGCCCAUUACACUGCCAAGUCCUGCCCGGCUCACAACACACCACAGACUCGGUGGAAGAAAAGGGAAGGGUUUUAUUCUCGAGCGUCUAAGGAUUUACAAACGAGGGUGUUUCAUUUUAAAAAGGGAUGGGGCAAUACUGGCAGCCUGAGAAGGGGUCGUGGGCCGGUGGGCCAAGCCAGGCCACCCCAGGCCCCUGCCUGCCUGCUCCGCCCUCUGCCUGGUCGAGAGAGGGAUGGCUGGUGACUGGUGACGGAGGAGGAAGGCAUGGGAGAGGCGGGGGAAGGAGAGGCUCUCGCUUAACACUGAAGGGGAUGGGGGCGGGGGGGACGGGUGGACACACACUCACAAAACAGAAAAUAAAGUUAAA